ensembl:lncRNA
GUGUUACCCAUAGGGAAAUGCUUGGAAAGUCAAUUGUGCUCAGUUAUCUUAUUUUCAUAAAGAAAUGUAGAACAGGCUCCAAAAUUGUUUUUCAUGUAAAAAAUUUUACAUGUGAAAAUGUUAAAAAAAAAUUUUUUUUUUUUCACCUGUAAAGCUGACAGAAUAAGUCCAUGUGUGGAGCACACUUUAAAGCGACUUCACCUGAAAUUCCAUCUCGGUGUGAGUCACGCCAUCUCACUUCUUGGACUAAACGCACUGCACAGAACAAUCGCGCGCUCUCAAAGCAAACUGAGGUUCCGACCUGCAGGGAGAAAAUCAGACACCCAGUCCUCUCUAGACAUCUCUGUGCCGGAAGGGGGCCAACCCCCACACCUCACAGGUCAGGACCUAAAAACUCACUGAGACACCAGGCCUGACUCUUAAUUCUGUGUCUCCCUCCCUGGAACACCUGCAUCCCCGUCGCCAGGUUUCCUUGGUGACCAGAGCUCUAAGGAUACCCGGUUCUGGCGCACUGAAGACAGAGGCCUGGGGUCAGGGUCAUUCCUACCCGCCGAGGUCAGGACUCAAGCAUCUUGCGCCUCCCGCUUCUCCCUGGACCUCAGGACACAGGACAGCAGAGAACCUGGGCCAGCGCUCCCGGGGCACCAGAACUCGUUGGCCACAGGCCGGGACAGGGAGGUGGGGGGCCUUUGCUCAUUCCAGUGACCCACUCCUCCUGGGAGCACUUGAAAGAGAAAUACAUUCCACCAUCCAGGGGCAAAGCCGCCCCCUCCCAGCUGGGGCCUGUUCCCUCCGCCUCCUCCUGGCUCCAGGGCCCGGGGUCCAACACCCGAGGAGGCCUCGGUCAACCGCAUCCAUGCACGAGGCUCUGGCCACCCUCUCAGCUCGCUGCCUACCUCCAGGCUGUCCGAUUCUUGGGCUCGGUGGCUGGGGGCGGGGGAUACAGGGCCUCCCUGCGGGGAGCGGCGUCCCGCCUCCAUCACCGCCUGGACUCCCCCAACCACACCCCGACCCCUGCGUGCAGACACGCUGGAAACCUCUCGCCUCCCGUCCCAUCCCUCGAAGACAUCAUACAAUGGCAGCGUUCCUGACAGCUUCCGGGCGCAGUCAGGUCCAUAAACUGGAAAAGGUGACCCUUCCGACAUUCAUCCGUCACAGUAAUCACGCUGCCAUCUUCACCCAAACCUCUGAUCACCUCAUUUCACUGCUCAGAAACCAUCAGUCCCCUAACCCCACCCCCCACAGCCUGCGGGAUCCAGCUGGGCCUCCUCGGUGGGGAUGGGGCCCCACCCACACCUGUCCACCUGGAAACAGUCAGCUCUCUCCAGGUGCUCACCAAACGCUGCCUCCUCCGUGAAGCCUCCCAGGACUCUCCACACCCACGAACAGCCACCUCCUGCCUCCCUUGACUCAGGAUACGCUGAGCGCUCCGCGUCUAAGUUUCUGCAGUGUCCUGCCUCCUUUCCAGAAAGCAAGGAGCAGACUUGGGCCCACCGGAGGUCCACAGGCUGCUAUAAAAACCCCUCAGGGCUCCUAGCCCGGUUCCCCCUCUGCAGAAUCACUGAGAGGGAUAAAUACAUGUGUACACAGGGCUAGAAGGAAGGGCGCUCCCAAAAGCUCAAGGACUAUGUAAAGUCAGAUUCAGAUGCUAUCGUGGUCGCCUGGGUCCCUGGGAAGGCAACAAUUCCCUAUUUGUCUCUCCGAUCGCUUAUCCUGGUUAGUCACUGGCACCUGGGAGGUGCUUCCUGAAUGUUCCUCCAACGUUUGAUGAAUGGUUGGUAAAGGCCAGUACUCCACUAGGAUCAUGGGCUGGCUCACAGGAGCUCUUCCCUCUAAACUGCGGUUUCCUUGGUAAAGUUAGAGAGAUACCAUAGAAGAUGGAGUGCCAUCCACACACUCAGAGGCAGCCUUCUCCUCUGCCUUGACGGUGAAAGUCGCUCAGUCGUGUCCGACCUGGGUCUCCUGCAUUGCAGGUGGAUUCUUUACCAGCUGAUCCACCAAGGAAGCCCCUCCUCUCCCUUAAGCUGCAGCAUUUGAGAGCUGACAUGGGCUUCCCUGGUAGCUCAGAUGGUAAAGCGUCUGCCUGCAAUACAGGAGACCUGGGUUUGAUCCCUGAGUCGGGAAGGAUCCCCUGGAGAAGGCAAUGGCAACCUACUCCAGGACUCUUGCCUGGAAAAUUCCAUGGAUGGAGGAGCCUGGGACAGCUCUCCUCGGCUGGCCAUCCUCCUGCUCAAACUGGACCAGUGACUUUUCUAGGCCCACUGUCCGGCCAGACGCUGGUCCGUUGUAUUAGUUCUUCACCAAACCAACAUCUUCCUUUGAUGUCGCUUCAGUCGUGUCCAACUCUUUGAGAUGCUAUGGACUGUAGCCCACCAGGCUCCUCUGUCCAUGGGAUUCUCCAGGCAAGAAUACUGGAGUGGGUUGCCAUGCCCUCCUCCAGGGGAUCCUCUUGACCCAGGAAUCGCACCUGUGUCUCCUGCAUUGCAGGAGGAUUCUUUACCCACUUGAGCCGCCUGGGAAGCCAGUUUCAAUCUGAGACAUGGGUUUGAUCCCUGAUGGGGGAAGACCCCACAUGCUGUGGAGCAACUAAGCCUGUGAGCCACAACUACCAAGCCUGUGCUCUAGAGCCAGGAAGCCACACUACUGAGUCCACGUGCCUCAGCUGCUGAAGCCUGCGCGCUCUAGUGCCCGUGCUCCAAAAUAAGAGAAGCCGCUGCAAACACGCACCACAAUCAGAGUCGGCCCUGCUCACCACUAGGGGAAAGCCCAUACAGCAACGAAGACCCAGUGCAGCCACAAC